CUUUGGGCCCAACCUCCCAUCCGUGUCUAUUGUACCCUGUUGCUUCGGCGGGCCCGCCGCUUGUCGGCCGCCGGGGGGGCGCCUCUGCCCCCCGGGCCCGUGCCCGCCGGARACCCCAACACGAACACUGUCUGAAAGCGUGCAGUCUGAGUUGAUUGAAUGCAAUCAGUUAAAACUUUCAACAAUGGAUCUCUUGGUUCCGGCAUCGAUGAAGAACGCAGCGAAAUGCGAUAACUAAUGUGAAUUGCAGAAUUCAGUGAAUCAUCGAGUCUUUGAACGCACAUUGCGCCCCCUGGUAUUCCGGGGGGCAUGCCUGUCCGAGCGUCAUUGCUGCCCUCAAGCCCGGCUUGUGUGUUGGGUCGCCGUCCCCCUCUCCGGGGGGACGGGCCCGAAAGGCAGCGGCGGCACCGCGUCCGAUCCUCGAGCGUAUGGGGCUUUGUCACAUGCUCUGUAGGAUUGGCCGGCGCCUGCCGACGUUUUCCAACCAUUCUUUCCAGGUUGACCUCGGAUCAGGUAGGGAUACCCGCUGAACUUAAGCAUAUCAAUA
rnacentral:rRNA from 1 species